AACGAACGCUGGCGGCGUGCCUAACACAUGCAAGUCGAACGAGAAAGGGGCUUCGGCUCCGAGUAAAGUGGCGCACGGGUGAGUAACACGUAGGUAACCUGCCUCUAAGAUUGGGAUAACCUGUCGAAAGACGGGCUAAUACCGAAUAAGACCACAGCUUCCUCAGAAGCAGGGGUCAAAGGUAGCCUCUACUUGUAAGCUAUCACUUAGAGAUGGGCCUGCGUACCAUUAGCUAGNGGUGGGGUAACGGCCUACCAAGGCGAAGAUGGUUAGCUGGUCUGAGAGGAUGAUCAGCCACACUGGAACUGAGACACGGUCCAGACUCCUACGGGAGGCAGCAGUGGGGAAUAUUGCGCAAUGGGCGAAAGCCUGACGCAGCAACGCCGCGUGAGUGAU
rnacentral:rRNA from 1 species